GUGCUCCCCCGCCAAUUCCUUUAAGUUUCAGCCUCGCGACCGUACUUCCCAGGCGGCGCGUUUCACGAUUUCUCUUCGGCACCUCGGUGACUCGUGGUCACCGAUACACCUAACGCGCAUCGUUUACAGCUGGGACUACCCGGGUAUCUAAUCCGGUUUGCUCCCCCAGCUUUCGUUCCUCACUGUCGGAGCCGUCCUGGUGAGACGCCUUCGCCACAGGCGGUCCCCCAAGGAUUACAGGAUUUCACUCCUACCCCUGGAGUACCUCUCACCUCUUCCGGUCCCUAGUCUGCCAGUAUCCCUGAGACGCCUUCCGGUUAAGCCGGAAGAUUUCCCCAGAGACUUAACAGACCAGCUACGAACGCUUUAAGCCCAGUAAUAGUGGCCACCACUCGAGCCGCCGGUAUUACCGCGGCGGCUGGCACCGGUCUUGCCCGGCCCUUUCUUCACCAGUUAUUUACACUGGCGGACAGCCUGAUUUUACAGGCACUCGGAGUUCCCUUAUCACGAUUGCUCGCAUUGUAAAGUUUUCGCGCCUGCUGCACCCCGU
rnacentral:rRNA from 1 species